rnacentral:rRNA from 1 species
GAUCAACGCUGGCGGCGUGCCUAACACAUGCAAGUCGAACGCGAAAGCCCCUUCGGGGGCAAGUAGAGUGGCGUCCGGGUGAGUAACACGUGGGUAAUCUACCUCUGGGUGGGGAAUAACUCGCCGAAAGGCGGGCUAAUACCGCAUAAUGCAGCGGCACCGAAUGGUGAUUAGUUGUUAAAGCGGGGGACCUUAGGGCCUCGCGUCUGGAGAGGAGCCUGCGGCAGAUUAGCUUGUUGGAGGGUAAUGGCCUACCAAGGCUGCGAUCUGUAGCUGGUCUGAGAGGACGGCCAGCCACACUGGCACUGACACACGGGCCAGACUCCUACGGGAGGCAGCAGUCGGGAAUUUUGGGCAAUGGGCGAAAGCCUGACCCAGCAACGCCGCGUGAAGGAU